UGUGCAAAUCAAUAUAAAUUGAUUAAAUUUUAUUUAUUUAUUUAUUUUUAAAAAAAAAUAUUUUAUUAAAAAUAAUUAUAAAAUUAUUUGUUUUAGUAUUUAAUAAAGAAAAAAUAAUAUUAAUAAUAGUUUAAUAGUAUUGUAAAAGAAAAUUGAAAUAAAUUGAAAAAUUUUUAUUAUAAAAGAAAAUUUUAUUUAUUGUACCUUGUGUAUCAGGGUUUAUUAAAAAAAGAUUAAUUAUUUAAUUUUCUCGAUUUUAAAAGAGUUAAUAUAUUAUUUAAGUUAAUGUAAUAAAAUUAUUUAUAAUAAUAUAUUUGAAAUGAAAUGUUAUUCGUUUUUAAAGGUAUCUAGUUCUUUAAGAAAUAAAUUAAAUUUAGAAAUUUUAUAUUAUUUAAUUAAAUAUAUUAAUUAAAUAAUUAUUUAAUUUUAAUAUUUUAUGGGAUAAGCUAUAAAAUAAAUUUUUAAAAAUUUAUGAAUAAAUUAAUAAAUAUAAGCUUAGAAAUGGUUAUUAUUAAUAAAAGUGUUAUAAUUUAUUUUAUAUUAAUUAUUAUUUAUUUUAAUUUUAAAUAUAUAUUAAAGUAUUUAUUUUAAUUUUAUAAAUAAAAAAAUAAUGAUAAAAUUAGUAUAAAAAUUUGUAUUAAUAUUUAUAGUUGAUAAGUUUUUAUAAAGAAUUCGGCAAAAUAAUAUUCGCCUGUUUAACAAAAACAUGUCUUUUUGAAUUUAUAAAAAGUCUAACCUGCCCACUGAAUUUUUUUAAAUGGCCGCAGUAUUUUAACUGUGCAAAGGUAGCAUAAUCAUUAGUCUUUUAAUUAAAGGCUAGAAUGAAUGGUUGAACGAAAUAUUAACUGUUUCAUAAAAAUUUUUAUUAAAAUUUUAUUUUUUAGUUAAAAAGCUAAAAUUUAUUUAAAAGACGAGAAGACCCUAUAAAUCUUUAUAUUUAAAUUAUAAUAAUUUUUUAGAUUUAUUUUAUUAUUAUAAUUAAUAAUAUUUUAUUGGGGUGAUAUUAAAAUUUAAUAAACUUUUAAUAAAAAAUUAUCAUUUAUUUAUGAAUAAUUGAUCCGUUAAUAACGAUUAAAAAAUCAAGUUACUUUAGGGAUAACAGCGUAAUUUUUUUGGAGAGUUCUUAUCGAUAAAAAAGAUUGCGACCUCGAUGUUGGAUUAAGAAAUAAUUUUAGGUGUAGUAGCUUAAACUUUAAGUCUGUUCGACUUUUAAAUUCUUACAUGAUCUGAGUUCAAACCGGUGUAAGCCAGGUUGGUUUCUAUCUUUAAAAAAUUAAAAUAUUUCAGUACGAAAGGACCUAAUAUUUGGUAAAUAAUUAUUUUU
rnacentral:rRNA from 1 species